GACCACGUAGCUCAGUUGGUAGAGCAUUGGACUAGUAUUCCAAAGGUCGCGCGUUCGAUUCCCACCGUGGCCA
rnacentral:tRNA from 1 species